GCUUAACACAUGCAAGUCGAACGAGGUAGCAAUACCUAGUGGCGCACGGGUGCGUAACACGUAGCCAAUCUGCCCUGGAGUGGGGAAUAACUAUCCGAAAGGAUAGCUAAUACCGCAUAUUGACAAGAGGUGGCAUCACCUUCUGUUGAAAGCUAUAUGCGCUCCGGGAUGAGGCUGCGGUGGAUUAGGUAGUUGGUAGGGUAACGGCCUACCAAGCCGACGAUCCAUAGCUGGUCUGAGAGGAUGAUCAGCCACACUGGCACUGAGACACGGGCCAGACUCCUACGGGAGGCAGCAGUGAGGAGUAUUGCACAAUGGGGGAAACCCUGAUGCAGCCAUGCCGCGUGGAGGAUGACACCGGUCUCCGGCGUAAACUCCUUUUGUGAGAGAAGAACCACGUGGUCGCCACGUCUGACGGUAUCUCACGAAUAAGCACCGGCUAACUCUGUGCCAGCAGCCGCGGUAAUACAGAGGGUGCAAGCGUUGUCCGGAUUUAUUGGGUGUAAAGGGUGCGUAGGCGGGACGAUAAGUCCGAGGUGAAAGCCCGCAGCUUAACUGCGGAACUGCCUUGGAUACUGUCGACCUUGAGUCCCGGAGGGGUGGCUGGAAUUCCUGGUGUAGCGGUGAAAUGCGUAGAUAUCAGGAGGAACACCGGAGGUGUAGACGGGUCACUGGACGGGUACUGACGCUGAGGCACGAAAGCGUGGGGAGCAAACAGGAUUAGAUACCCUGGUAGUCCACGCCGUAAACUAUGAAUGCUCGGUGUUAUCCCUUCGGGGGAUAGUGCCUAAGCUAACGCGUUAAGCAUUCCACCUGGGGAGUACGUUCGCAAGAAUGAAACUCAAAGGAAUUGACGGGGGCCCGCACAAGCGGUGGAGCAUGUGGAUUAAUUCGAUGCAACGCGAAGAACCUUACCCAGGCUCGAACGCUACGGGACAGUCCCUGAAAGGGGAUCUUCUUCGGACCCGUAGUGAGGUGCUGCAUGGCUGUCGUCAGUUCG
rnacentral:rRNA from 1 species